rnacentral:rRNA from 1 species
CAGCGCCACGAGUGGUGACCACGUUUAUUGGGCCUAAAGCGUCCGUAGCCGGUUUGAUAAAUCUUUUGUGAAAUUGUACAGCUUAACUGUACAGCGUGCAAGAGACACUGUCAAACUUGAGACCGGGAGGAGUCAGAAGUAUUCCAGAGGGAGCGGUAAAAUGUUAUAAUCUCUGGAGGACUACCUGUGGCGAAGGCGUCUGACCAGAACGGAUCUGACGGUGAGGGACGAAAGCUAGGGGAGCGAACCGGAUUAGAUACCCGAGUAGUCC